rnacentral:rRNA from 1 species
UACGAGGGGCCCGAGCGGUAUUCGGAAUCACUGGGCUUAAAGCGUGCGCAGGCGGGCCGGUAGGCGUCUUGUGAAAUCCCGCGGCUCAACCGAGGAAUUGCAGGGCGAACCCCCGGCCUUGAGGCGAGUAGGGGCAGACGGAACCAUGCGUGGAGCGGUGAAAUGCGUAGAUAUGCAUGGGAACGCAGAUGGGGAAGCCAGUCUGCUGGGCUCGUCCUGACGCUCAUGCACGAAAGCGUGGGGAGCAAACAGG